rnacentral:lncRNA from 1 species
UGGAUCGUGUACAGUCAUGCCGUCCUUGCGCGGCGUAAUUGUCGGUGAGUCAGGUUAAAUUCUUAAAUAGGUCGCGCCUGCGCCUAAUUGAGUCUAUAAAAGCCUGCACAUUCAGUUUUGCUAGCUACAAUGCAGUGCGGCUGGCGUGAGCUGUCUCCACGAUGCGCUUCGAGCGUGUCGAUUUCGCCGUUCUUUAUGUUGGCGUUAAGGACCUUGAAAGCAACAUGGAUCCACAAGAAAUGUGCGACAACAUCAAGGCCUUGAUUGUUCAACGAGACGGCCCCCGUCGUGCUGGUUUUCAAGGUGCUCCCUCGCUGCCUAGAAGAUGCUGAUGCGCAAUAGAAAAUGCAAAAACGUCGCUUGCUCAACCGCAAAUUGACGGCUACGCUGAAGUGCAUGCCGUGUCUGCGGAAUUUGAACCCCGAGGUAUGGACCCCCUUUUUCCAGCGGCAUGCCGUUACAUACCGUCAGGAACACGCUUGGCUUAUUUCUGACUCGGUAAAAAAUGUUUCACUUUU